rnacentral:rRNA from 1 species
UACGUAGGGUGCGAGCGUUAAUCGGAAUUACUGGGCGUAAAGCGUGCGCAGGCGGCGCGUUAAGACAGGUGUGAAAGCCCCGAGCUUAACUUGGGAAUUGCGCUUGUGACUGGCGAGCUGGAGUGUGGCAGAGGGAGGUGGAAUUCCACGUGUAGCAGUGAAAUGCGUAGAUACUGGGAGGAACACCGGUGGCGAAGGCGGCUACCUGGACCGGAACUGACGCUGAGGCGCGAAAGCGUGGGUAGCAAACAGG